CGUAGAGAGCGUCACGGCGCCGGGCGGGACAUUUUUAUCGAGGGCUGUGUAAUCUCGGAGACACGUCAUGAAGCAAGAACAGGGAGGGUUUCAGCAUUUUCACUGACAACGACAGAAUAUCAGAAUUAGCAGCAAAUAACGUUAACAUGGGUGCAAAAAACGUUGUGUAACGCUACAAAGAUUGCUGGAAGUUGCACUGAUGACAGAUUGCUGUGGUACAUCCCUUCCUUUCAACUGUCCUGAGGGUUCUACCAUCGAGAGAGCACUACAGCUGUCUGGUCCGGUUCUGAAGAUCCGUGA
rnacentral:lncRNA from 1 species